AACGAACGCUGGCGGCGUGCCUAACACAUGCAAGUCGAACGAGAAUGCAGGCUUCGGUCUGCUAGUAAAGUGGCGCACGGGUGAGUAACACGUGGAUAACGUACAUUGUAGUGGGGGAUAACCAGGUGAAAGCUUGGCUAAUACCGCAUGAGUCUGUCGGGACGCAGGUUUUGACAGGGAAAGUGAGCAAUCACGCUACGAGAUCGGUCCGCGGCCCAUUAGCUAGUUGGCGGGGUAAUGGCCCACCAAGGCGACGAUGGGUAGCUGGUCUGAGAGGAUGAUCAGCCACACUGGAACUGAGACACGGUCCAGACUCCUACGGGAGGCAGCAGUGGGGAAUUUUGCACAAUGGGCGCAAGCCUGAUGCAGCGACGCCGCGUGAGGGAUGACGGCCUUCGGUUGGUAAACCUCUUUCAAUAGGACGAAGCGCAAGUGACGGUACCUAUAGAAGAAGCACCGGCCAACUACGUAGCCAGCAGCCGCGGUAAU
rnacentral:rRNA from 1 species